ensembl:lncRNA
AUGCUGAAAAAAAGACUCAGAUCCUCCGCGCAUGCGCAUGUUCUAAAAUACGAUUUGCACAACGGUCCGAUAUCAAAGAUGGCGGGAGCCUCCGACCCGCUGGAGGACAUGCUCUUCAAUGAAGUGGACGAGAAAGCUGUUAGCGACUUAGUUGGCUCUCUGGAAUCACAGCUCGGAGACAGAGAAGCUCCCGCCGCUUCGUAUUCUGCCGGUAAACUGGAGGGAGCUCCGCCAACCACCGGUCAGUUCUCAGGGAAAGUGCGCGAUCCGGUGGGUCCGUUGGAGCAGCCCCAACAAGGGCAACCAGAACCGGAACCCGUUAAAGUACUGCCCUCCUCCGUAACCGCCGCGUCCGUGGUAACCGCCGGAGCCACAGCACCCCCCACUAUCUCCCCGGUACCGGGACCCGUAACUUUGACCACUCGGUCCGCCCCUGUUGGCUUCCACCGGGCAGCUCCCGGCGGCGGCCCCGUGGUGGAGGCGAACCGAACCGCUUCCCCCGGAAGUUUAAAUGAUGCCGUGAAGUUGGUGAACUCGGUCCCCGCAGCAACGGCGGUGUCGGCACCGGUGACCGGCUCGGUAAUCAGCGCCGUCAGCACCGCGGGAUCCACGAUCAUCGCCUCCAUGGCCGCUCAGCCUCACUUCCCUCAGUCGCCCGGUGUCCCGCUGCAGAGACUCCCGGUGCCGGUGUCCGGUGUGGCCCUGAAUGGAGUGGAUCCCAAGGGCGCUGUCCCGUCCGCCUCCGCCCCCCCGGUGGUGAACCACGUCGCUCCCCUGAUGCAGACCAAGGUGCUGGUUCCCAAUCAGCCCGUCUCCGGGAACUCCGUCAUUCUCACCGGAACCCCCCAACCCGCCGUGACCGGGACCGGCACAGCCGCCGUCGUCCUGAAGCCGGCGGUGAAUGGAGUGGGUCAGCUCACCAUGGCUCGGCCGCCGGGGACCCCCGUGAUGACCACGUCCAUCCAGCAGCAGAGACCCGGCCUGGUAGCGAGUUCCCCCCCGAGCCGCCGCUCCUCAGCUGGCCGUCCGGCCUCAACAGCAGACCACCAUCCAGCUGCCCCCCGGCUUCUCCAUGCCGCCAGGUAUGGUUCUGGUCCGUACCGAGACGGGUCAGCUGGUUAUGGUCCCUCAGCAGGUACUGGCUCAGGCUCAGGCCAAGACCCAGCAGAGCCAAGUGGGGGCCAACAUCAGCCAGAGACCUCCCACCCCGACCGCCGCCACCGCCAUCCGGGUCAGCGCCCCCCCCACGGCUCCUCAGACCGUCCGCCUGGCCGCCCCAAACCAGACCAGGAUGGUUCAGUCUCCGUCCUCCACGACUAUACAGGUGUGUCUUCUGUCCUCACCCUGUAUCCUCCCUCUUCCUUUGUCCUCAUCCGCCAUACUGUCGCUUUCUCUGUCCUGUCUCUUUGUCUUUCUUCACCCUCUGUCCUCUUGUCUCUUCCUCUCUUCUCACCCUGUUCACAUCAAUGA